GCGUGGCCCAGUGGUUAGAGCGUUCGCUUCAGAUGCUGGAGGUUGUGAGUUCCAACGCCGGUUGAGUCUUACCAAAGACU